AACGAACGCUGGCGGCAUGCCUAACACAUGCAAGUCGAACGAGACCUUCGGGUCUAGUGGCGCACGGGUGCGUAACGCGUGGGAACCUGCCUUUAGGUUCGGAAUAACUCAGAGAAAUUUGAGCUAAUACCGGAUGAUGUCUUCGGACCAAAGAUUUAUCGCCUUUAGAUGGGCCCGCGUUGGAUUAGCCAGUUGGUGGGGUACAGGCCUACCAAGGCGACGAUCCAUAGCUGGUCGGAGAGGAUGAUCAGCCACACUGGGACUGAGACACGGCCCAGACUCCUACGGGAGGCAGCAGUGGGGAAUAUUGGACAAUGGGCGAAAGCCUGAUCCAGCAAUGCCGCGUGAGUGAUGAAGGCCUUAGGGUUGUAAAGCUCUUUUACCCGAGAUGAUAAUGACAGUAUCGGGAGAAUAAGCUCCGGCUAACUCCGUG
rnacentral:rRNA from 1 species